AGAGUUUGAUCCUGGCUCAGAAUGAACGUUGGCGGCGUGGAUUAGGCAUGCAAGUCGAGCGUGUACCCCGCAAGGGGGAAAGCGGCGUAAGGGAGAGUAAUACGUAGAUACGUGCCUUCAGGUCCGGGAUAGCCACGGGAAACUGUGGGUAAUACCGGAUAAUGUCUAAGGACCAAAGGUGAGAUUCCACCUGAAGAUCGGUCUGCGUCCUAUCAGCUUGUUGGUGAGGUAAUGGCUCACCAAGGCUACUACGGGUACGGGGUGUGAGAGCAUGCCCCCGCUCACUGGGACUGAGACACUGCCCAGACACCUACGGGUGGCUGCAGUCGAGGAUCUUCGGCAAUGGGCGCAAGCCUGACCGAGCGACGCCGCGUGCGGGAUGAAGGCCUUCGGGUUGUAAACCGCUGUCAGUGGGGAGGAAGGCCCUGUAAGAAGCAGGGUUUGACCUAUCCGCAGAGGAAGUGUGGGCAGUUCGUGCAGCAGCCGCGGUAAGAC
rnacentral:rRNA from 1 species